rfam:Caenorhabditis tropicalis strain JT1373 unplaced genomic scaffold Scaffold582, whole genome shotgun sequence.
CGGUCCAACAGACGAUUGAGCUUCCACGUCAAGCCACAGCUAUCCAAAAAACUUGCUGGCAAGAUGUAGGCAGCUCAGUUGUAUGCGGAGACC